rnacentral:rRNA from 1 species
CCCGCACAAGCAGCGGAGCAUGUGGCUUAAUUCGACGCAACGCGAAGAACCUUACCAGGGCUUGACAUGCAGGGAAAAGCGGCGGAAACGUCGUGUCCGCAAGGGCCCUGCACAGGUGCUGCAUGGCUGUCGUCAGCUCGUGUCGUGAGAUGUUGGGUUAAGUCCCGCAACGAGCGCAACCCUUGUCAUUAGUUGCUACGAAAGGGCACUCUAAUGAGACUGCCGGUGACAAACCGGAGGAAGGUGGGGAUGACGUCAAGUCCUCAUGGCCCUUAUAGGUGGGGCUACACACGUCAUACAAUGGCUGGUACAAAGGGUUGCCAACCCGCGAGGGGGAGCCAAUCCCAUAAAGCCAGUCGUAGUCCGGAUCGCAGUCUGCAACUCGACUGCGUGAAGUCGGAAUCGCUAGUAAUUGUGGAUCAGCAUGUCACGGUGAAUACGUUCCCGGGUCUU